CGGGCGUUGUCCUUGACUGGCGAGAGUGUGGGGGCGCUGGUCUCUGGCCCUGGUGGCGCCACUACUGUCUUCGGAAAGAUUAUCGGGAGUAAAGUAGCAGGAGUGACGUGAACCGACGAUGAGUGAAUUUUACGAGCGGCGAGGAGAGUGCGACGAUAGCCCAGGCAGGGCCGGUGUCGGUGCCGAACGAUCGUGUGUGUCGCUUCUGUCCCGAGCACCCAUCUUGAUGGAAUGGAGCCCAAGUCACGGCCUGUUUUUAAACAUCCGGAAGGGUGGAGGAAACCCAUGGAAUGGGAAACUAAUGUCUAUCUUUGAAAGGAAGUGGGACGGUAGUUAAUGAAAAUGUAUACGUGUGUUGGGCAUAAAGAUGGUUUAAGCAUGGAGUUUAAGUUGUAAGCGUUGGUAAGAAGGGAUUUCAGUCAUGACAAAUAAAUACAACGGAAUAAUUAGAAGACA